rnacentral:rRNA from 1 species
GGCUAAAUACUCCUGACUGACCGAUAGUGAACCAGUACCGUGAGGGAAAGGCGAAAAGAACCCCGGCGAGGGGAGUGAAAAAGAACCUGAAACCGUGUACGUACAAGCAGUGGGAGCCCCACCACUAAGCCAGUGGUGAACUCCACAUCCGCAUCCUUUGCUGAGGAUACGGUUAACGGAGCGAAAGCGACGUUCAACCGCAAAACAAGCAGAGGGGGCUUAGUGGUGGGGUGACUGCGUACCUUUUGUAUAAUGGGUCAGCGACUUAUAUUCUGUAGCAAGGUUAACCGAAUAGGGGAGCCGGAGGGAAACCGAGUCUUAAUUGGGCGUUAAGUUGCAGGGUAUAGACCCGAAACCCGGUGAUCUAGCCAUGGGCAGGUUGAAGGUUGGGUAACACUAACUGGAGGACCGAACCGACUAAUGUUGAAAAAUUAGCGGAUGACCUGUGGCUGGGGGUGAAAGGCCAAUCAAACCGGGAGAUAGCUGGUUCUCCCCGAAAGCUAUUUAGGUAGCGCCUCGUGAAUUCAUCUCCGGGGGUAGAGCACUGUUUCGGCUAGGGGGCCAUCCCGGCUUACCAACCCGAUGCAAACUGCGAAUACCGGAGAAUGUUAUCACGGGAGACACACGGCGGGUGCUAACGUCCGUCGUGAAGAGGGAAACAACCCAGACCGCCAGCUAAGGUCCCAAAGUCAUGGUUAAGUGGGAAACGAUGUGGGAAGGCCCAGACAGCCAGGAUGUUGGCUUAGAAGCAGCCAUCAUUUAAAGAAAGCGUAAUAGCUCACUGGUCGAGUCGGCCUGCGCGGAAGAUGUAACGGGGCUAAACCAUGCACCGAAGCUGCGGCAGCGAACGUAUCACCCAAGACAACUUUACGGAGUUGACGAUUGACGGAGCGAAGCGACGUCAAAGCGUUCAUUAAAGUCGAGUUGGCUUAGGGAUACGUUCGUUGGGUAGGGGAGCGUUCUGUAAGCCUGUGAAGGUGUGUCGUGAGGCAUGCUGGAGGUAUCAGAAGUGCGAAUGCUGACAUAAGUAACGAUAAAGCGGGUGAAA